rnacentral:rRNA from 1 species
CCUACGGGUGGCAGCAGUGGGGAAUAUUGCACAAUGGGGGAAACCCUGAUGCAGCGACGCCGCGUGAGUGAAGCAGUCCUUCGGUACGUAAAGCUCUAUCUGCAGGGAAGAAAAUGACGGUACCUGACUAAGAAGCCACGGCUAACUACGUGACAGCAGCCGCGGUAAUACGUCGGGGGCCAGCGUUAUCCGGAUUUACUGGGUGUAAAGGGAGCGUAGACGGCAGCGCAAGUCUGGAGUGAAAUCCCAUGGCUUAACCAUGGAACUGCUGUGGAAACUGUGCAGCUAGAGUGCAGGAGAGGUAGGCGGAAUUCCUAGUGUAGCGGUGAAAUGCGUAGAUAUUAGGAAGAACACCAGUGGCGAAGGCAGCUUACUGGACUGUAACUGACGUUGAGGCUCGAAAGCGUGGGGAGCGAACAGGAUUAGAUACCCUGGUAGUC